GACGUAGGAGGCGAGCGUUGUCCGGAUUCAUUGGGCGUAAAGAGCACGCAGGCGGUUUGGCAAGUCGGAUGUGAAAACCCGAAGCUCAACUUCGGGCCUGCAUCCGAAACUGCCCGACUAGAGGUAGGUAGGGGGACCUGGAAUUCCUGGUGUAGCGGUGGAAUGCGCAGAUAUCAGGAGGAACACCGGUGGCGAAGGCGGGGUCCUGGACCGGCAUUGACGCUGACGGCGCGAAAGCCAGGGGAGCAAAGCGGGAUUAAG
rnacentral:rRNA from 1 species